rnacentral:rRNA from 1 species
UNUGACUUGAGUGCAGAAGGGGAGAGUGGAAUUCCAUGUGUAGCGGUGAAANGCGUAGAUAUAUGGAGGAACACCAGUGGCGAAAGCGGCUCUNUGGUCUGUCACUGACGCUGAGGCUCGAAAGCGUGGGUAGCGAACAGGAUUAGAUACCCUGGUAGUNCACGCCGUAAACGAUGAGUGCUAGGUGUUAGGCCCUUUCCGGGGCUUAGUGCCGGAGCUAACGCAAUAAGCACUCCGCCUGGGGAGUACGACCGCAAGGUUGAAACUCAAAGGAAUUGACGGGGGCCCGCACAAGCGGUGGAGCAUGUGGUUUAAUUNGAAGCAACGCGAAGAACCUUACCAGGUCUUGACAUCCCGAUGCUAUUCUUAGAGAUAGGAAGUUACUUCGGUACAUCGGAGACAGGUGGUGCAUGGUUGUCGUCAGCUCGUGUCGUGAGAUGUUGGGUUAAGUCCCGCAACGAGCGCAACCCUUAUUGUUAGUUGCCAUCAUUAAGUUGGGCACUCUAGCGAGACUGCCGGUAAUAAACCGGAGGAAGGUGGGGAUGACGUCAAAUCAUCAUGCCCCUUAUGACCUGGGCUACACACGUGCUACAAUGGUCGGUACAACGAGUUGCGAGCCGGUGACGGCAAGCUAAUCUCUGAAAGCCGAUCUCAGUUCGGAUUGGAGGCUGCAACUCGCCUCCAUGAAGUCGGAAUCGCUAGUAAUCGCGGAUCAGCACGCCGCGGUGAAUACGUUCCCGGGCCUUGUACACACCGCCCGUCACACCACGAGAGUUUGUAACACCCGAAGUCGGUGAGGUANCCUUUUAGGG